UCAUCUUCGUGAAAAUGAAAACCGAGGUUAUUCUUUUACUGUUUGGGUGCUGUUUUGUUGCGACAAACGUCGCAAACGAUGACUUCCACGGUGAUAAUUACAUCGAAGAAAAUGUUACAGAGGACUUGCAGAACGUUGACUUUGACAGGCUACGCUUGCUUCGAAAAUACGCGUACGACACUCAAAACGGUGAGAAUCGCCGAAACGUGAACGACGAUGAGCUGGAGAAUUGGAAAGGACGAUGGAUGCCAGACAGACCGAAUGAUCCUAUUCCACCACCCAAGAUAUUUCCAAAGAAGGAACAAACGUCUGAUUUUCAAGCCUCGCAAUCUAUGCACGGUGUACCGAUGGGAUAUAUCUCGGUACAUUGUGACGAUGCUAAGACAAACUUAACCGUGGAUUGGGAUGGCAAUCCAAGCAGUUACACUUGCUACGACAAGAGAAUUGUUCCUGACAGAAAUACCGUAGCGAACAUGUAUUGUGAACGUAUACCAAAGUAUUAUGUUGCCAUGCAUAAAUGCAUGUACGAGGAAAUACAGUAUGACGACGACAUCCCAGUGUUCGGUUCACAUAGACCUCUGUGGCCAGUCUAUGGUGAAUAUAAGUUUUUGCCAAAGCAGAGAUGGCUCCAUAGUCUCGAGCAUGGAGCAAUCGUCAUGUUGUAUCAUCCGUGUGCCAAUCCAUUGGAAGUGAGACGCAUGAAAAAUUUACUCACCGGAUGUCUACGCCGACACGUGAUCACUCCUUACGACCUAUUGGACGAACACCGCCCGUUGGCCUUGGUUUCUUGGGGAUGUCGAUUGACCAUGUCUUACGUGAAUCCGGAAUUGGUAAUUGGAUUCGUUCGCGAACAUGCUCUUCGGGGACCAGAGGAGAUUGCAAGGGAUGGCGCUUUCGUCGAAGGUCUGUUGCGCCAAGCAAAGACCGUGUCGGAUCUCGAGGACACGAUCUUAUGCCCCAGUGCACGAGCAAUUUAACGUCGCCAAACUUUUAUUCUGUGAAUUUUUCUCCCGCCAUUCGACUAUACAAAAAAAGAAAUACGACUCGUAUGAGAGGCCGGCUAACAAAAGUACCGUCCAUCGAAUCGACGACGAACGGAUCCGACCAACUGCGAACAAGGUGCAGAAAUCACCAGAGAGAGAGAGAGAGAGGGGGGGGGGCACGUUGCGUCGACUUUUGCACACUUAAGAACAACAACAAGUAGGAGGAGAUGAAGAUAAUGAUACUGAUCAUGUAAGAUAAAAAGGAAGUAUUAGGUUGUAACAUAUGAAAUGUCCGAUUUUGGUAGACCAACUUUUCAAACCUUUUUUUUUUCCGGUAAAUAUU